CAAAUCACCGAGCCUUCUUUUUUCAUUUCCAAUCUUGCCCUUCAAAAGUUAAAAAUCAAUAUUGUCCCCAGCCUCUCGCGAUCUAAUUUCUAUUUUCUCUACUAGUUUCUCAUUCCUAUUCCCUUUUCGCUUCUCGAAUUCCGUUGUGCUUGAAUUCCCAAAUCCUCAAACACUAACCCGAAUUCGAGCUAGUUUUUUCAGAUCGGACGUAAUUUCGGGUGAAUCGGGCAUGAGAUUGGAUGGAUGAAGGACGAUGCCGGUUCUGCGAAGCGGAGCGCGGAGGGGACGGGCGAACCCUAAUCCGAACGCGCUAACGCAAACAAGGAACCAGCGAGGGGCGGCGAGGAACCGGAGAGGGGCGGCGGCGGUUGCGGCCGAUGAUACCGCGGGUGUGAACGGUGAGGAUUUGAAUUUGAAAGCGGAGGAGAUCGUGUUGUUAGAAGGAGGAGAGGAGAAUAACGAGAACGAUUUUGACGAGGAAGGGGUUGGAGAGAGGAAAAUGAACGAUUUUGAUAGCGGAGCUAAAAGUGCUGACAAGGUCCCGGGGGCUGAGGACGAGAGCGCUGCUCCGAUUCCUGAAAAGGUCCAAAUUGUAAAUUCACCAGUUUAUAAAAUUGAAAGGAAACUUGGAAAAGGAGGAUUUGGACAAGUGUACGUUGGUCGCCGAAUUUCAGCUACUAAUGCAAGCGAUAGGAUAAGUGCUUCCAGCGCUAUUGAGGUAGCAAUAAAGUUUGAGCAUAGAAGCAGUAAAGGUUGUAAUUAUGGACCACCUUAUGAGUGGCAAGUAUACAAUACCCUUGGUGGUAUUCAUGGGGUACCUCGUGUCCAUUACAAGGGUCGCCAAGGGGACUAUUAUGUCAUGGUGAUGGAUAUGUUGGGACCCAGUCUAUGGGAUGUUUGGAAUAAUAACUCCCAUGCAAUGUCAACAGAAAUGGUUGCUUGUAUUGCUAUUGAAGCAAUCUCUAUUCUAGAGAAGAUGCAUUCUAAAGGAUAUGUGCAUGGAGAUGUAAAGCCUGAGAACUUUUUACUUGGACCUCAUGGGACUCCUGAGGAGAAGAAACUUUUUCUGGUUGAUCUUGGUUUAGCCACUAAAUGGAAGGACAGUUCUACUGGACAGCACGUUGAGUAUGAUCAAAGACCUGAUGUUUUCAGAGGAACAGUGCGGUAUGCUAGCGUACAUGCUCAUUUAGGAAGGACAGGAAGCAGGAGAGAUGAUUUAGAAUCCCUCGCUUACACACUUGUAUUUCUUCUCCGUGGACGUUUACCUUGGCAGGGAUACCAGGGAGAAAACAAAGGAUUCCUUGUCUGCAAGAAGAAGAUGGCCACAUCUCCAGAGGCAUUAUGUUGCUUUUGCCCAACACCAUUUAGACAUUUUGUUGAGUAUGUUGUGAACCUAAAGUUUGAUGAAGAGCCUAACUAUGCCAAAUGCAUUUCUCUUUUUGAUGGUAUAGUGGGUCCAAAUCCAGACAUUAGGCCAAUUAACACUGAUGGUGCUCAAAAGCUUAUAUACCAGGUUGGUCAAAAGAGAGGACGAUUGAUGAUGGAAGAAGAUGAUGAUGAACAACCAAAGAAGAAAGUUCGUAUGGGAAUGCCUGCAACGCAAUGGAUUAGUGUCUAUAAUGCUCGGAGACCCAUGAAGCAAAGGUACCAUUAUAAUGUGGCUGACAAUAGGCUCGCUCAGCAUAUUGAGAAAGGAAAUGAAGACGGGUUAUAUAUCAGUUGUGUUGCUUCUUGUGCAAAUCUCUGGGCUCUGAUUAUGGAUGCAGGAACUGGUUUUAAUGCUCAAGUCUAUGAGCUCUCACCAAAUUUUCUUCAUAAAGAAUGGAUUAUGGAGCAAUGGGAGAAAAAUUAUUAUAUCAGUGCAUUAGCAGGGGCGAACAAUGGCAGCUCCUUAGUAGUAAUGUCUAAAGCUUCUGCUUCAGGUACCCAGUAUGCACAGCAGUCGUAUAAAGUUAGUGAUUCAUUUCCAUUCAAGUGGAUAAACAAAAAAUGGAGAGAGGGAUUCUAUGUCACUUCCAUGGCAACUGCAGGCACCAGAUGGGGGGUGGUGAUGUCUCGUAAUGCAGGCUUUUCUGAUCAGGUUGUUGAGCUUGACUUUUUGUACCCUAGUGAAGGUAUUCACCGAAGAUGGGAUAAUGGUUAUCGAAUAACUGCAACUGCUGCAACAUGGGAUCAAGCUGCAUUUGUUCUAAGUGUACCCAGAAGGAAGCCUUCAGAUGAAACACAAGAAACACUUCGAACAUCUGCUUUCCCUAGUCAACAUGUCAAGGAAAAAUGGGCAAAGAAUCUAUACAUCGCAUCUGUGUGCUAUGGUCGAACAGUUUCUUGAUGUUUUUUUUCACUCUUGAUGGUGGAGGAGCUGCUCAUGCAUAUCUUGAUGCUAGCUUCAACUCGUGACUUGGAGAAUAUAUAAUCCUGUUACAACUGCGACUGCUUGCUGUCCUUUUGGGCUUUUGGCGUGUGAGCGUUGCAUUGUUGUGUCCUCUCGUAUAUGCCAUUUCAACUAACACAUGAUUCUGUAUCAUUGGCAAUGGUCUUGGUAUGCCCUUGCACGAGCUAUAGAUUUUCCUGGAGAUGGUCAGAUCGGAGGCGGUAUUGUUGCUUUGUGGUCAACAGAAUUUGGCUUCACUUGAGGGGUAUAAAUUUAUAAAUAAAAGAAGACGAUGACAGGUAUUAUUGAGCUUUAAGGUGAGUGUGUACUACAAAAGGUUGCUGGCAUCAUGUUCAGCGCGAUCAUGUGUGCACUCGCUAUGAGGGACAUCAUUUGGAGCUGUAGGAGUCUCCUGGAAGGGAAUGACUGCAGUAGAGCCAGUUGGAAGUGAGGCGUUAGUUAAGGAGGCAGUCAGAAAAAGGGUAGCAAGACAGUAUUUUGUGUUGGUGCUCAACGUUUAUUUCCCUUGUUGUAAGCAACAUAUUUCAGGCUUUGAUGCAGUACAUGCUGAACUUUUGGAUGUACCCACUCGAAUCAUUUGUACUUGGAAUCUAUAUUCCUAUUUCAUUGAAGUCCCAGUGUCCUUAAUUAUUCUUCAUCGUAAUCUGCAUGAUGUUCAAUA